CAUAGGAAUAGACGAUUUUUGAGAUAUAAUCUGGUAAGCAUGAGUAAUGAAGGGGAAGCAGACAUAUCGAUGGCCGACGGGAGGAGAGAGACGCAGCAAUCAAUUUAUAUAUAACUUUGUUGAAUGAAGUACUAGAUGAAUUUUACAGUAAAAAUAGGAGUAGCUUUUAGCUAGGUAACAAUUUCUCAUUGGAACUAAUUAC
rnacentral:lncRNA from 1 species